GCAUAUCAAUAAGCGGAGGAAAAGAAACCAACAGGGAUUGCCCCAGUAACGGCGAGUGAAGCGGCAACAGCUCAAAUUUGAAAUCUGGCCCCUCGGGCCCGAGUUGUAAUUUGUAGAGGAUGCUUUUGGUGCGGUGCCGCCCGAGUUCCCUGGAACGGGACGCCAUAGAGGGUGAGAGCCCCGUCUGGCUGGCCACCAAGCCUCUGUAAAGCUCCUUCGACGAGUCGAGUAGUUUGGGAAUGCUGCUCUAAAUGGGAGGUAUAUGUCUUCUAAAGCUAAAUAUUGGCCAGAGACCGAUAGCGCACAAGUAGAGUGAUCGAAAGAUGAAAAGCACUUUGAAAAGAGGGUUAAAUAGUACGUGAAAUUGUUGAAAGGGAAGCGCUCAUGACCAGACUUGGGCUUGGCGAAUCAUCCGGCGUUCUCGCCGGUGCACUUUGCCUCGUCCAGGCCAGCAUCAGUUCGCCGCGGGGGACAAAGGCUUCGGGAACGUGGCUCCUCCGGGAGUGUUAUAGCCCGUUGCGUAAUACCCUGCGGUGGACUGAGGACCGCGCUUCGGCAAGGAUGCUGGCGUAAUGGUCAUCAGCGACCCGUCUUGAAACACGGACCAAGGAGUCGUCUUCGUAUGCGAGUGUUCGGGUGUCAAACCCCUACGCGUAAUGAAAGUGAACGCAGGUGAGAGCUUCGGCGCAUCAUCGACCGAUCCUGAUGUUCUCGGAUGGAUUUGAGUAAGAGCAUACGGGGCCGGACCCGAAAGAAGGUGAACUAUGCCUGUAUAGGGUGAAGCCAGAGGAAACUCUGGUGGAGKCUCGCAGCGGUUCUGACGUGCAAAUCGAUCGUCAAAUAUGGGCAUGGGGGCGAAAGACUAAUCGAACCUUCUAGUAGCUGGUUUCCGCCGAAGUU
rnacentral:rRNA from 1 species